ACAACGUCGUCAUUAAUUCUUGGCCUCAUAUAAAUGACAUUGUCAUUAAAAUAAACUCUAAUUACUUUCGAAUAAGGUUCAUUCCACCAUAGCAAACAAAUUGUGACGACAUAACCUGUUAUCGUCAUUGCCAUUGUGACAACGUUGCCGUUCCGAGCGAAACGUCAAAGCAACCAACUUGUAGAUGCGGGUGGUCAAAUUCACAACUAAUCAAUUCGCUGUAAUUUGCGAUAGCAGCGCCCAUUUCAACUGCAAAUGUAAGUUUGUUCAGUAUAGACGUUUCUGCGAUGAGUCAACUUAAACACGGUGUCACACUGUGUCGUUUUUCGCUUGAUAAACCACGUGUGUUUUUAAAAGCUGGAAAACGGGAUUAUGAUCAUUUCGCAGUCAGUUGCGCUGCGCACGCGUCUCGGCGUGUUUACGUUUUUUUGACUUGAUCUAUUUAUUUUUUUGUGAACAUGUUCUUGACGUUUGAAGUGAUCGCCACAUUCGGAGUGUCAGCUGUGGUAUCCUUCUCGAUAUCCUCAGCCAUUCUCCUCCUGCUGGCUGCCAAGCGCGGCCUGCUCCGAAAGCGCGAGAAGCCAGGGGUGACCAACGCUGCGCUGCUUCCACCCUCCGCCCCGCCGAAGGAGCUGCUGGCAGAACAGACGCCUUUGCAGUCUUAGAAUAUAGUUAGUUAGCAAGACGCUUUGCUGACUAUUAGACCAUUGGAACACAAACUAACCGCAUUAUAAAGCGUUUACCGUACCGUACCGUAGCGUGCGAUGGUAGCACCUGAUGUCCAUCCUUAGAUGCCAUAAGUAAAACAAAUAUCCUGACAAAAGCCCGAACGUCUACCUAAAAAUCCUGACAUUGCCUGGACGGUAAUUUCUUUAAAAAUAGCCUACUCCGACUUCGUUCACAAUCUACAUUUACGAUUAGCACGAAAAAUAAUAAGGGUCCAUUACCUAUAUCCCUUAUUCUAAAACUUUUCGUGGGCUCCUAGUCCCUUUAUGUCGCUACCAUGAACUGCAGCUGCAACUUAAACAUAUAUAACCUUCCCUUUCCUCUCUCCUCUUUCUAAGAAACCCUGACACUUGCCGCCGCAAUCCCGCAAAGGACCAAAAAUCCUGACAAUUCUGACAUGCUCAACCAUAUUUCCUAUCUUGCACUCAUGUAACUAGUCGUCAACGUGGGCUCAACUGUAGGGCUAAGAUGGUCGGCUCUUUAUCAUUUGUCACCAUGCCUGUCACGUUCUAACAAAUAUGUGAGUGCGAAAGUGUCGUAUGGCAUGACAGGUGAUAAAAAUGCGUCCAUGAUACCGCUUCUAAUCUGGGCGCGUAACCAAUCGACGUGUAAUUUUUGAUAUACUGUUACAUUAAAAUCAAGUAGUUUUUCGUCUACCCAACAAAAAUAGCUAAGUCUUGUGAAAUAUAAUGUAAUGGAGAGAAAUUUAUAAGACAAUAUUGAGGAAAGCCACAUGCAUUUAAAUAAUGUGUUUUGCAUUUGGUCAUGACCGGAUCUUACAUUAAUUUUAUAGAACUUUAAUACAUACCUACGGUUAACUUUCGACCAGCUGGCAGCGCGUAACUUUUUUUAAACAAGAUCCGUCCAUCCGCAAAAUUGUUACCUAUCUUCGAAUUAGUGAUCAGCAAUCUCAAUAUAUUUUUAACGUAUGUCUACCUACUCGUACGUACAGUAGGCGCUCGGUAUUCUGGCACGCCCAAUAAAUCCGACAAUUUAGUGACUCAGGUGACUCGUUUAAAUUAAUACUCCCGCAGUUUAGAGCGGUUUCAGACUAGCGUAUUUUUCUGCGCGUAGGAUGGCGUUACGAGCGAAGGCGCGUUACAUUUCCCUACAUUUGGUUUUUACGCGCUUACACGUGCGUUACUUUUCCGUACACGUGGUCUAAACGAGCUUACACGGGCGUCUCUUACACAGCCGAAUGCCGGAUUAUAGAACGGUUGUAUUUGACAUGUAGACUUUAUUUUCUAUAAGUCUAAAGAUUUAUUUGCCAUACUAAUCCAAUAAUCCGGCAGUUCCAACAAUAUUACGGCAUAGGGGCAAAAUUUCAAGUGAAGGAUUACCAAGUGCCUACUGUAUUUCUAAAGAGAAAAAUAAUGUAUUUAACUUAAUUUUGGAUAUUUUAUAAUAAUUGUAAUAUUAAAACUGGUAUUUUUUACCAUUUUAGUACAGAACUUCAAAUAUAUUCGAUGUAAUCACACGUGUCCGUUUAAUAGCGAGUUAGUUUUAAGUCAAAAUUGUGAUAAAUGUGCCUUAAUCGCAGCUUUUUUGUUUUUAUUGUGUAUUAAGAAUAAAUAAAUCA